rnacentral:lncRNA from 1 species
CGAGCGUUGGGUCAACAAUCCCAAACCACGAAGGCUUUAGGUUGUUAGGCACAAAGUCCCCUCAGACUUAAUUACUCGAGUACUAAUGAGCUCAACCUAGUUAAUUCUACCACUUAUUUUUUUAGUGAAUUUAUUUACUACUAUUUUUUUUUUUUUUUUUUUUUUUUUUUUUUUUUUUUUUUUUUUUUUUUUUUUUUUUUUUUUUUUUUUUUUUUUUUUUUUUUUUUUUUUUUUUUUUUUUUUUUUAAUUUUUUUUUUUUUUU